rnacentral:misc_RNA from 1 species
UGGGUUUGACAUACACCGGAAACGGCCAGAGAUGGUCGCCCCCUUGUGGUCGGUGUACAGGUGGUGCAUGGCUGUCGUCAGCUCGUGUCGUGAGAUGUUGGGUUAAGUCCCGCAACGAGCGCAACCCUUGUUCUGUGUUGCCAGCAUGCCUUUCGGGGUGAUGGGGACUCACAGGAGACUGCCGGGGUCAACUCGGAGGAAGGUGGGGAUGACGUCUCUAGGAGGGUG